UAAUACGGAGGGUCCAAGCGUUAAUCGGAAUUACUGGGCGUAAAGCGCGCGUAGGCGGUUUAGCAAGUUGUAUGUGAAAGCCCUGGGCUCAACCUAGGAACUGCAUUCAAAACUUUUAAACUGGAGUACGGGAGAGGAGAGUAGAAUUCAUGGUGUAGCGGUGAAAUGCGUAGAUAUCAUGAGGAAUACCAAUGGCGAAGGCAACUCUCUGGACCGUAACUGACGCUGAGGUGCGAAAGCGUGGGUAGCAAACAGGAUUAGAUACCCUGGUAGUCCACGCCGUAAACGAUGACAACUAGCCGUUGGACUUUCGGGUUCAGUGGCACAGCUAACGCAUUAAGUUGUCCGCCUGGGGAGUACGGCCGCAAGGCUA
rnacentral:rRNA from 1 species